rnacentral:rRNA from 1 species
AUUGAACGCUGGCGGCAUGCCUUACACAUGCAAGUCGAACGGUAACAGGUUAAGCUGACGAGUGGCGACCGGGUGAGUAAUACAUCGGAACGUGCCCAGUAGUGGGGGAUAGCCCGGCGAAAGCCGGAUUAAUACCGCAUACGACCUAAGGGUGAAAGGGGGGGAUCGCAAGACCUCUCGCUAUUGGAGCGGCCGAUGUCAGAUUAGCUAGUUGGUGGGGUAAAAGCUCACCAAGGCGACGAUCUGUAGCUGGUCUGAGAGGACGACCAGCCACACUGGGACUGAGACACGGCCCAGACUCCUACGGGGGGCAGCAGUGGGGAAUUUUGGACAAUGGGCGCAAGCCUGAUCCAGCCAUGCCGCGUGCGGGAAGAAGGCCUUCGGGUUGUAAACCGCUUUUGUCAGGGAAGAAAUCCUUUGGGUUAAUACCUCGGGGGGAUGACGGUACCUGAAGAAUAAGCACCGGCUAACUACGUG